rnacentral:rRNA from 1 species
UACGUAGGGGGCAAGCGUUGUCCGGAAUUAUUGGGCGUAAAGCGCGCGCAGGCGGUUUAUUAAGUUCGGUGUUAAGCCCCAGGGCUCAACCCUGGUUCGCACUGGAAACUGGUAGACUAGAGUGUAGGAGAGGAAAGUGGAAUUCCACGUGUAGCAGUGAAAUGCGUAGAGAUGUGGAGGAAUACCGAUGGCGAAGGCAGCCCCCUGGCCAAUACGUGACGCUCAUGCACGAAAGCGUGGGGAGCAAACAGG